UACGUAGGUGACAAGCGUUGUCCGGAUUUACUGGGCGUAAAGAGCGCGCAGGCGGUCGUUCAAGUCGAGUGUGAAAGCCCCCGGCUCAACUGGGGAGGGUCACUCGAUACUGAUCGACUCGAAGGCAGGAGAGGGAAGUGGAAUUCCCGGUGUAGUGGUGAAAUGCGUAGAUAUCGGGAGGAACACCAGUGGCGAAGGCGACUUCCUGGCCUGUUCUUGACGCUGAGGCGCGAAAGCGUGGGGAGCGAUCCGG
rnacentral:rRNA from 1 species